rnacentral:rRNA from 2 species
CUGGGAUAACUCCGGGAAACCGGGGCUAAUACCGGAUAACACUUUUCUUCACAUGGAGGGAAGUUGAAAGAUGGCUUCUUGCUAUCACUUACAGAUGGGCCCGCGGCGCAUUAGCUAGUUGGUGAGGUAAGAGCUCACCAAGGCGACGAUGCGUAGCCGACCUGAGAGGGUGAUCGGCCACACUGGGACUGAGACACGGCCCAGACUCCUACGGGAGGCAGCAGUAGGGAAUCUUCCGCAAUGGACGAAAGUCUGACGGAGCAACGCCGCGUGAACGAAGAAGGUUUUCGGAUCGUAAAGUUCUGUUGUUAGGGAAGAACAAGUACCGUUCGAAUAGGGCGGUACCUUGACGGUACCUAUCGAGGAAGCCCCGGCUAACUACGUGCCAGCAGCCGCGGUAAUACGUAGGGGGCAAGCGUUGUCCGGAAUUAUUGGGCGUAAAGCGCGCGCAGGCGGUUUCUUAAGUCUGAUGUGAAAUCUUGUGGCUCAACCACAAGCGGUCAUUGGAAACUGGGGAACUUGAGUACAGAAGAGGAGAGCGGAAUUCCACGUGUAGCGGUGAAAUGCGUAGAUAUGUGGAGGAACCCCAGUGGCGAAGGCGGCUCUCUGGUCUGUAACUGACGCUGAGGUGCGAAAGCGUGGGGAGCGAACAGGAUUAGAUACCCUGGUAGUCCACGCCGUAAACGAUGAGUGCUAGGUGUUAGGGGGUUUCCGCCCCUUAGUGCUGCAGUUAACGCAUUAAGCACUCCGCCUGGGGAGUACGGCCGCAAGGCUGAAACUCAAAAGAUUGACGGGGGGCCCGCACAAGCGGUGGAGCAUGUGGUUUUAUUUCGAA